UGGCAGCUUAACAUGCAGUCGAGGGUACAGGAAGUGCUUGCACUUCGCUGACGACCGGCGAACGGGUGCGUAACGCGUAUGCAACCUACCUUCUACAGGGGGAUAGCCCAGAGAAAUUUGGAAUAAUACCCCAUACGGUCAUUUAAUGGCAUCGUUAAAUGAAGAAAACUCCGGUGGUGGAAGAUGGGCACUGCGUCCUAUUAGUUAGUUGGUAAGGUAAUGGCUUACCAAGACACCGAUAGGUAGGGGUCCUGAGAGGGAGAUCCCCCACACUGGUACUGAGACACGGACCAGACUUCUACGGAAGGCAGCAGUAACGAAUAUUGGACAAUGGAGGCAACUCUGAUCCAGCCAUGCCGCGUGAAGGAAGACGGCCUUAUGGGUUGUAAACUUCUUUUACACAGGAAGAAACCUUUCCACGUGUGGAAAGUUGACGGUACUGUAAGAAUAAGGAUCGGCUAACUCCGUGCCAGCAGCCGCGGUAAUACGGAGGAUCCAAGCGUUAUCCGGAAUUACUGGGCGUAAAGAGUUAGUACGCGGUACUGUUAGUCU
rnacentral:rRNA from 1 species